ACACACACACACACACACACACACACACACACACACACACACACACACAUUCUUUUCUCUGUUGUUUUACAGCAGAGAGAAAUGUGUGUAAACAGUCACACAGAAAGUGAGUGAACAAUAGUUUAUGUUUAUCCCCUUUAAAGGGACAUUAACUUUUUGGGACACCUGUCAGUGUAGUUUGUUUUGGUGUGAGAUAUCUAAAUGUAAACCUCCCUUCAAAAUAAAGGCGCUGAAUGAAUCUGCUCACAACAGAUUGCCGUCACAUUAUAACUUUAAGCGCCAUGUCGUCUCGCGGAGAAGGCCGACGUCUCUACCUCACGACAAGACGAAGAGCACACUGUAAAACAGGCAAAAAACGUUUAGAUCCUGGUGUGAACUGUCCCUUUAAAGAUGAUUUUAAGCCGUUGUGUUAUGUUAAGCCUGUAAUCCUACCAGUGUGUGUCUGUGUGUGCCUCUACUGGGACGUCCCCUCCUUCAUCUCUCUCUCUCCUCCUGUCUUCCUCUUCUUCUUGUUUGUAGUAUUUUUUAUACUUCCUGUAUGUUCAGCCAGCGCGGCGAGCGGUCGAUGCUCCGCGUCACGAGAGCUGAAACAGCACGACGCCCACCGACUUCUCCCAACGCGGCUCAUGAUCUCAUCUCAAGGUCAAAGGUGAUUCGCCCUUUGAUUGAUUCCCUCGUCUGUCCCUCAGUGGCUUCGGGGUCAACAGAUUCAUUUCUCCAUGUUCGUUUUAAAGACAUUAAACUAAUUCCGGAGGCAUCAAAGACUCCUCAGAUACAAACGAGCGGCCUGCAUCCGAAGAGACGGACGAGGCUCCGAGUCAUUUUUGAUUUGUCCUCCAGAGACGACUCUGACUCCGUCAAUGAACAACUCCGCUCGGGCUCCCGCGGGGUCGCGGCGGCGGGUUUCGCUCCGCUCACCAGGGGGCGCUGUUGCAUAAAGGACUUGAAUUUGACCCCGUGGAACAGACCUCGGACCGGCCCGCUUGCACGAGGUCCAGAAGACUAG
ensembl:lncRNA